rnacentral:rRNA from 1 species
UACAGAGGGGGCAAGCGUUAUUCGGAAUUAUUGGGCGUAAAGGGCGCGUAGGCGGCCUGACAAGUGGAAGGUGAAAUCCCUCGGCUUAACCGAGGAACUGCCCUCCAAACUGUCUGGCUUGAGACCGGGAGAGGUGAGUGGAAUUCCCAGUGUAGCGGUGAAAUGCGUAGAUAUUGGGAGGAACACCAGUGGCGAAGGCGGCUCACUGGACCGGUACUGACGCUGAUGCGCGAAAGCGUGGGGAGCAGACGGG